UACGGGGGGGAGCAAGCGUUGUUCGGAUUUACUGGGCGUAAAGGGCUCGUAGGCGGUUUGUCGCGUCGGGAGUGAAAUCCACUGGCUUAACUGGUGGCUUGCUUUCGAUACGGGCAGACUGGAGGCAUGCAGGGGAGAACGGAAUUCCUGGUGUAGCGGUGAAAUGCGCAGAUAUCAGGAGGAACACCGGUGGCGAAGGCGGUUCUCUGGGCAUGUCCUGACGCUGAGGAGCGAAAGUGUGGGGAGCGAACAGG
rnacentral:rRNA from 1 species